CCUGUUCGUGCCUUCUGAAGCGCCCGUCGCGUGGGCUAACGUGGGCAAAGCUAAGUGGAGUCAUGGCGUAUUAGACACAUCAGUAGAACAGAAGUCGCCAGUAACACCGGAGCGGUCGUUGCUGCGAGCUAUCUGUCAGGCGCGGGGCUCAACGGGCUAUAUCAUGAUCGCCAGCAGUGUGGUAGCAAGGGGGCUGCCGGUUAAAGGAAUAUGAACUUUGUGAUGUAACAAAUAGAGGACAAUUCUAUUUGUUACUAGUAUGUAGAUGUUUGGUCGCUGGAAGGACUGCCUGCCUGUUGGAUGUGGACCUUACUACUUAGGUAAUACAGUGUGAUUUACUUUGUUACUUGUUACAAUUUUGUGGAACCUGACAGUAAAGAAAUUUGCUUUAAAGUUACUGGUAUGUUUGUAAUUUCCUACAUCUAGACACUUUCGAUUUUGCCUUUCUGCCAACUUCAAAAUCAGAUCAUGUAAUUUCCUUCCAAAUCAGUGGAACAUAUGAACAAAUACUUUUUUUGUGAAUAAUAUAAGUAAGGUACGUGUAGUGCUAUUAUUUGUAAUGUAGGACUGUAAAUAUAGAUCUAAUCACAUUUGUGUAAAUAGGCAAAAUAAAUGAAACAUUGUUUCGAUGAA